UACGUAAGGUGCGAACGGUGUUCGGAAUCACUGGGCAUAAAGAGCACGUAGGCGGCUUCGUAAGUCUGAUGUGAAAUCCCCCGGCUUAACCGGGGAACUGCAUCGGAUACUGCGGGGCUGGAGUGCAGUAGGGGAGAGUGGAAUUCCAGGUGGAGCGGUGAAAUGCGUAGAUAUCUGGAGGAACACCAGUGGCGAAAGCGGCUCUCUGGACUGCAACUGACGCUGAGGUGCGAAAGCCAGGGGAGCAAACGGG
rnacentral:rRNA from 1 species